GACGAACGCUGGCGGCGUGCCUAAUACAUGCAAGUCGAACGCUUCUUUCCUCCCGAGUGCUUGCACUCAAUUGGAAAGAGGAGUGGCGGACGGGUGAGUAACACGUGGGUAACCUACCCAUCAGAGGGGGAUAACACUUGGAAACAGGUGCUAAUACCGCAUAACAGUUUAUGCCGCAUGGCAUAAGAGUGAAAGGCGCUUUCGGGUGUCGUUGAUGGAUGGACCCGCGGUGCAUUAGCUAGUUGGUGAGGUAACGGCUCACCAAGGCCACGAUGCAUAGCCGACCUGAGAGGGUGAUCGGCCACACUGGGACUGAGACACGGCCCAGACUCCUACGGGAGGCAGCAGUAGGGAAUCUUCGGCAAUGGACGAAAGUCUGACCGAGCAACACCGCGUGAGUGAAGAAGGUUUUCGGAUCGUAAAACUCUGUUGUUAGAGAAGAACAAGGACGUUAGUAACUGAACGUCCCCUGACGGUAUCUAACCAGAAAGCCACGGCUAACUACGUG
rnacentral:rRNA from 1 species